rnacentral:rRNA from 1 species
GACGUAGGGCGCGAGCGUUGUCCGGAUUUAUUGGGCGUAAAGAGCUCGUAGGCGGCCACUCAAGUCGAAUGUGAAACCUCGAGGCUUAACCUCGAGCCUGCAUUCGAUACUGGGCGGCUAGAGUCUGGUAGGGGGAUCUGGAAUUCCUGGUGUAGCGGUGGAAUGCGCAGAUAUCAGGAGGAACACCGGUGGCGAAGGCGGGAUCCUGGGCCAGUACUGACGCUGAGGAGCGAAAGCGUGGGGAGCAAACAGG